rnacentral:lncRNA from 1 species
CUUGUCAUCAUUUAUUUUGUCCCCCUCAAAAAUAGGAGCUUGAACAUGUUGUCUCAUAGCAAAGCUUAAAUAGUUUCUCAAUAGAGUUUGAUUUUCAUCUACAGGCCUCCAAUAGUCAGUACCAAGAGGAAAAUACACAACCAGCUUCUUCUUCACUGAUUUUGUCAACUUCUUAAUGAUGUUUGCCUUAUACCGACCUCGAACAUUCUUCUCUUCAACC